CCCGUAGUUGACGACGUGUGUUCAGUGAAAUCGAGUAGGGCGGGACACGUGAUAUCCUGUCUGAAUAUGGGGGGACCAUCCUCCAAGGCUAAAUACUACUGACUGACCGAUAGUGAACCAGUACCGUGAGGGAAAGGCGAAAAGAACCCCUGUGAGGGGAGUGAAAUAGAACCUGAAACCGUGUACGUACAAGCAGUAGGAGCAGGCUUUGUCCUGUGACUGCGUACCUUUUGUAUAAUGGGUCAGCGACUUAUAUUCAGUGGCAAGGUUA
rnacentral:rRNA from 1 species